GUGCUCACUUUGGCAGCACAUAUACUAAAUUGGACUGAUACAGAGAAGAUUAACACAGCCCCUUGCAAGGCUGACAUGCAAACUCAUGCAGUGUUCCAUAUUUUA